rnacentral:rRNA from 1 species
ACCAACUGGGAUUACCUUAGUAACGGCGAGUGAAGCGGUAAAAGCUCAAAUUUGAAAUCUGGUACUUUCAGUGCCCGAGUUGUAAUUUGUAGAAUUUGUCUUUGAUUAGGUCCUUGUCUAUGUUCCUUGGAACAGGACGUCAUAGAGGGUGAGAAUCCCGUUUGGCGAGGAUACCUUUUCUCUGUAAGACUUUUUCGAAGAGUCGAGUUGUUUGGGAAUGCAGCUCAAAGUGGGUGGUAAAUUCCAUCUAAAGCUAAAUAUUGGCGAGAGACCGAUAGCGAACAAGUACAGUGAUGGAAAGAUGAAAAGAACUUUGAAAAGAGAGUGAAAAAGUACGUGAAAUUGUUGAAAGGGAAGGGCAUUUGAUCAGACAUGGUGUUUUUUGCAUGCACUCGCCUCUCGUGGGCUUGGGCCUCUCAAAAAUUUCACUGGGCCAACAUCAAUUCUGGCAGCAGGAUAAAUCAUUAAGAAUGUAGCUACUUCGGUAGUGUUAUAGCUUUUUGGAAUACUGUUAGCCGGGAUUGAGGACUGCGCUUCGGCAAGGAUGUUGGCAUAAUGGUUAAAUGCCGCCCGUCUUGAACACCGGACC